rnacentral:rRNA from 1 species
GUCUACGGCCAUACUACCCUGAACGCGCCCGAUCUCGUCUGAUCUCGGAAGCUAAGCGGGGUCGGGCCUGGUUAGUACUUGGAUGGGAGACUGCCGGGGAAUACCGGGUGCUGUAGGCU